rnacentral:rRNA from 1 species
CAUAUCAAUAAGCGGAGUAAAAGAAACCAACAGGGAUUGUCUUAGUAACGGCGAGUGAAGCGACAAAAGCUCAAAUUUGAAAUCUGGCACCUUCGGUGUCCGAGUUGUAAUUUGAAGAAGGUAACUUUGGAGUUGGCUCUUGUCUAUGUUCCUUGGAACAGGACGUCACAGAGGGUGAGAAUCCCGUGCGAUGAGAUGUCCAACUCUAUGUAAAGUGCUUUCGAAGAGUCGAGUUGUUUGGGAAUGCAGCUCUAAGUGGGUGGUAAAUUCCAUCUAAAGCUAAAUAUUGGCGAGAGACCGAUAGCGAACAAGUACAGUGAUGGAAAGAUGAAAAGAACUUUGAAAAGAGAGUGAAAAAGUACGUGAAAUUGUUGAAAGGGAAGGGUUUGAGAUCAGACUUGGUAUUUUGUAUGUCUUGCUUUCGGGUGGGGCCUCUGCAGUUUACUGGGCCAGCAUCGGUUUGGACGGUAGGAUAAUGACAUUGGAAUGUGGCACUACUUCGGUGGUGUGUUAUAGACUUUGUU